CCAAAAUCGAGAACUGAAAUGCCGCGACGACGACGGGUUCGUCGCUACGUUCCCCAAGAGCCGAACUACGUUCGCGCAGGAGAUAACCUGGCUCGUUCUACACGAUGCCGACCCGAAGUCGAGACAGGGAAGAAAGUUUGAUGAACGCCAUGCCUGAGAUCGGCUACAGUUGGCGCGGGAACGAGUAUGUGCCGCGAGAUGAGAUGGAGUCGCCACGAAUAUUCAAAACGCACUAUCCGUGGAGAACG